UGGGAGAGAGAUUUCACCCAGGGUUCUCGUUAAUGUCUGACACAUGCGGCAAAGGCUCGAGGGAGUGUUAUUACCAGGGUGAUGGUUGAUAAGACGCUCGUUUCUCCACGCUGCGUCCCACGGGAAAAUGCAUCGUGCAGCCAUGGAAACCAUAAGGCUAGGUGUUAUGCUAUAAUUGGGCCAGCAUUUUUAACGGUGCAGCUGCACUGCCAGGUAUGCCACUGUCUUCAAAUGAGAAAUUAUAGGGGAGCCGCAGCCGAGCAGACGCAGCCGACUUCACGGGAGCCUUUUUCCUGUGUGAGGGGUUCUCAAUCGCACUUACGGCGUGGAAGAGCCAACGGAAAGUACAUGUUUGCUCCUGUCCGGGUGCAAGACGGAGACGGAUCGAGGAAGGAGACGAGGAAGGGAAGAGGAGGAGGGAGCGUGAGGAGGAGGAGGGGAAGAGGGGAAAGAUGGUCGUCAGCCAAUCCCUGCUCAGUCUCCGUAACUUGGUUGAUUACGAUCAAUUUCCCUGGUAUCGAUGGCCUCGCUGGCUCCGAGCUACGCUCCCUCCUGCACUUUGCAUGCUCUCCCUCAGAUAUCGGGAUGCGGCCGCAAUUGGAGGUGCCGUGGCGAAUCCUCCCGAUCCGCCUGCAGACGGGGCCGGAUCAGAACCACACGCAGUCAUGCUGACCCACGGGCGUGCGAGUCACAGUCACACUGACAACGCGUUGGUUUGUUUAAACCCGAGUGAUUCACGUAAACCAAUAAGUGAGGCAAUAAAAGCUGACCCGACC